AGUGAACGCUGGCGGUAGGCCUAACACAUGCAAGUCGAACGGCAGCACAGUAAGAGCUUGCUCUUACGGGUGGCGAGUGGCGGACGGGUGAGGAAUACAUCGGCAUCUACUUUUUCUUGGGGGAUAACGUAGGGAAACUUACGCUAAUACCGCAUACGACCUACGGGUGAAAGCAGGGGAUCUUCGGACCUUGCGCGUUUCAAUGAGCCGAUGUCGGAUUAGCUAGUUGGCGGGGUAAAGGCCCACCAAGGCGACGAUCCGUAGCUGGUCUGAGAGGAUGAUCAGCCACACUGGAACUGAGACACGGUCCAGACUCCUACGGGAGGCAGCAGUGGGGAAUAUUGGACAAUGGGCGAAAGCCUGAUCCAGCCAUACCGCGUGGGUGAAGAAGGCCUUCGGGUUGUAAAGCCCUUUUGUUGGGAAAGAAAAGCAGCAGGUUAAUACCCCGCUGUUCCGACGGUACCCAAAGAAUAAGCACCGGCUAACUUCGUG
rnacentral:rRNA from 1 species